rnacentral:sRNA from 1 species
AACUUUCUCUGAACUCUCCCCCUCAACGGCUACUCUAGCUUUUAUCGCAAUUCUCAAGCGUUUUAGGGUUCGUACGUAGCAGUUGGGGUGGGGAGUUCAGCAAAAGUUGG